AUACUUACCUGGCAGGGAAGAUACUAUGAUCAUGAAGGUGGUUUUCCCAGGGCAAGACUUAUCCAUUGAACUCUGGAUGUGUUGACCCCUGUGCUUUCCCCAAAUAAAAAAAAAAAUUCAAGCUGGGUACGGUGGCUCACGCCUAUAAUC
rnacentral:snRNA from 1 species